CAGUUAUUACCGAAUUGUUUUAUUUAUAUAUUAUAUUUAAGUUUGGUGUUUUAUUAUUACCAUUGUAUGAAAAAUCCUGGAAAAAAAUAUUUUUAUUUUUAUACAAUAUUAUAAUUUUAACAGAUUUGGGCAAUAUUAUUUCAUUGCAAAAUUUUUAAUACACAAAAAUAUAGAAUCUGUUAGGAUCUAGAUAGAAAUCUUUUCGGAGAAUUUUCAUGUUUACAACCACUAGAGACAUCUCCAAAAAUACUUUCUUCAUUAAGUGGUAAAAGAAUUUUAUACGCUUAUUCUUUAUAUAUAUAAGAAAUAAUUAUUAAAAUAAAUAAAAAAUAAAAAUAAAAAAUAAUUUUUUUUUAAUGUUUUCAAAUUAUACUUUUCAAAUUUGAAAUUUUUUAUAAAUUUUUUUAAUUGUUUCGGAUUUGUUUUUUUUUCAAAAUUCUUUUUGAACAUUGAAAUUUAUUUUUGAAACUAUUUUUUAAAAAAAAUUAAAGUUUUUUUAAGUAUUUAUUUAUAUAUUUAUUAGAAUCUUAAAUUUCACAAUCCAAAAAUCCUACCCCAUCCUCA
rnacentral:lncRNA from 1 species